rnacentral:tRNA from 1 species
GCCGGAGUGGCGGAAUAGGAAGACGCGGGGGACUCAAAAUCCCCUGGGCCUUGAGUCCAUGUGGGUUCGACUCCCACCUCCGGCACCA